GAUGAACGCUGGCGGCGUGCCUAAUACAUGCAAGUCGUACGGAAAGGCCCUUCGGGGUACUCGAGUGGCGGACGGCUGAGUAACGCGUGGGAACGUGCCCCAAAGUGAGGGAUAACGCACCGAAAGGUGUGCUAAUACCGCAUAUGGUCUUCGGAUUAAAGCUUCGGCGCUUUGGGAGCGGCCCGCGUACGAUUAGAUAGUUGGUGAGGUAAUGGCUCACCAAGUCGACGAUCGUUAGCUGGUCUGAGAGGAUGAUCAGCCAGACUGGGACUGAGACACGGCCCAGACUCCUACGGGAGGCAGCAGUAAGGAAUCUUCCACAAUGGGGGCAACCCUGAUGGAGCAACGCCGCGUGCAGGAUGAAGGUUUUCGGAUCGUAAACUGCUUUUAUAAGUGAAGAAUAUGACGGUAACUUAUGAAUAAGGAUCGGCUAACUACGUGCCAGUAGCCGCGGUAA
rnacentral:rRNA from 1 species